GAUGAACGCUAGCUACAGGCUUAACACAUGCAAGUCGAGGGGCAGCAUUAGGUAGCAAUACUGAGAUGGCGACCGGCGCACGGGUGCGUAACGCGUAUCCAACCUUCCCGUUACUCUUGGAUAGCCUUCCGAAAGGGAGAUUAAUACAAGAUGGUGUUGAAAUUCCGCAUGUUAUUUCAACUAAAGAUUCAUCGGUAACGGAUGGGGAUGCGUGACAUUAGGUAGAUGGCGGGGUAACGGCCCACCAUGCCCACGAUGUCUAGGGGUUCUGAGAGGAAGGUCCCCCACACUGGAACUGAGACACGGUCCAGACUCCUACGGGAGGCAGCAGUGAGGAAUAUUGGUCCAAUGGCCGGAAGGCUGAACCAGCCAAGUAGCGUGAAGGAUGAAGGUUCUAUGGAUUGUAAACUUCUUUUAUACGGGAAUAAACCUCCCAGUGUGGGAGCUUGUAUGUACCGUAUGAAUAAGCAU
rnacentral:rRNA from 1 species